CACGUCGGGCGCGAGCGUUGUCCGGAAUUAUUGGGCGUAAAGAGCUCGUAGGCGGCCUGUUGCGUCCGCUGUGAAAGCCCGGGGCUUAACCCCGGGUCGGCAGUGGAUACGGGCAGGCUAGAGGUAGGUAGGGGAGAAUGGAAUUCCCGGUGUAGCGGUGAAAUGCGCAGAUAUCAGGAGGAACACCGGUGGCGAAGGCGGGACUCUGGGCCGAUACUGACGCUGAGGAGCGAAAGCGUGGGGAGCAAACAGG
rnacentral:rRNA from 1 species